rnacentral:rRNA from 1 species
UGGGGAAUUUUGGACAAUGGGCGAAAGCCUGAUCCAGCAAUGCCGCGUGUGUGAAGAAGGCCUUCGGGUUGUAAAGCACUUUUGUCCGGAAAGAAAUCCUCUGGGUUAAUACCUCGGGGGAUGACGGUACCGGAAGAAUAAGCACCGGCUAACUACGUGCCAGCAGCCGCGGUAAUACGUAGGGUGCAAGCGUUAAUCGGAAUUACUGGGCGUAAAGCGUGCGUAGGCGGUUUCUUAAGUCUGCUGUGAAAUCCCCGGGCUCAACCUGGGAAUGGCAGUGGAUACUGGGAGGCUAGAGUGUGUCAGAGGGUGGUGGAAUUCCCGGUGUAGCGGUGAAAUGCGUAGAGAUCGGGAGGAACAUCAGUGGCGAAGGCGGCCACCUGGGACAACACUGACGCUGAGGCACGAAAGCGUGGGGAGCAAACAGGAUUAGAUACCCUGGUAGUCCACGCCCUAAACGAUGCGAACUGGAUGUUGGUCUCAACUCGGAGAUCAGUGUCGAAGCUAACGCGUUAAGUUCGCCGCCUGGGGAGUACGGUCGCAAGACUGAAACUCAAAGGAAUUGACGGGGUCAUAGC